CCGCGGCGCCGGCCACUAGCGCAGCCUCGCCCACGGCCACUGGCGCAGUCCCGGCUGGUGCUUCGCGUCCUCUGCUUCUCCUCCGCGCUUCCAGCUGUCCAGCAGCUGCCGCGCGCCGCCAGCGCUGCGCGACACUCCAGCAUCACGGGUGUUGGGGAACGUCUAGCACCUGAACCGGUCACGCCGCGUCACCCCUUCGAGCAGGACCAACUCAGGUACAGUACUGCUACGUAAGCGGUCACAGUCCUUAAUGUACGAUCGAACAUCGUCUACUCUGCUAUAUGGUUCUCCACUGUCGAUUCCCGAUCGUGAAAUGUAA